CCUACGGGCGGCAGCAGUGAGGAAUAUUGGUCAAUGGACGAGAGUCUGAACCAGCCAAGUAGCGUGAAGGAUGACUGCCCUAUGGGUUGUAAACUUCUUUUAUAUGGGAAUAAAAUGUUCCACGUGUGGGAUUUUGUAUGUACCAUAUGAAUAAGGAUCGGCUAACUCCGUGCCAGCAGCCGCGGUAAUACGGAGGAUCCGAGCGUUAUCCGGAUUUAUUGGGUUUAAAGGGGGCGUAGGUGGAUUGUUAAGUCAGUUGUGAAAGUUUGCGGCUCAACCGUAAAAUUGCAGUUGAAACUGGCAGGCUUGAGUACAGUAGAGGUGGGCGGAAUUCGUGGUGUAGCGGUGAAAUGCUUAGAUAUCACGAAGAACUCCGAUUGCGAAGGCAGCUCACUGGACUGCAACUGACACUGAGGCUCGAAAGUGUGGGUAUCAAACAGGAUUAGAUACCCCAGUAGUC
rnacentral:rRNA from 1 species